GCCCACCCAGGCCCGAGUGCCGCCGCCGCCACCACCAGCGCCCACAGAGCGCUCGACCCCGAGCUCCUCCCGUGCGCCUCCUCCCCGGCCUCCCUCGCGCGUCGUCCGGCGACCGCCGCCGCCACCGGCGACCACCCAGGUCAUGCCGCCGCUCCCCUGCCUUCUCUCUUUCUACUCUCUCUCUAAUCUCCUUGUCUCUCCUUCUCUCCUGGAGCUCAACGCCAGCGCCAUGGAUGCCCAGUUCUCGAGCUCACCUUGGAGGUUCAAACGCCGCAACGGGACCUCCACCGGCCAGAUCCGGCGCCUCCCUCCCGGAUCCGCGCGCCCUCCACCUCCUCUACCCGAUCCGGCGCUGCCCACCUCAGCUCCUCCUCUCCUCCGUGCGCCCGAGCUCCUCGCUAUGCGUCGCCCGGGAGGGCUCGCGCUCGCUACUUGACCAGAGCCACCACGUUGCAUUCUCCGUCGACCUCGCCGUCCCCUCUGCACUACCCUCCACCUCAACUGAUGUCCAUCUGAUUGUUCCAUGUUAUACUAUCUAUUGAAGAAAAUAAAUCUGUAUUAUUUACCUUGAUUUUUCUGAUUGUAGAUAAAUAACAUGGCUGAGAAAGUUCCUCCAAUGAAAGGAGGAGGAGUAUAGUCUUGGCCGUGGCUGGGAAGGAAGGAGAACAGGUUAAUUGAGGAUUUUUCAGGGAGAUUAGGACUGCUUGAUUUAUCACAGAGAAACUAAAUCAGUGGACUGGUGUGCUGGUUGAUUAGGAUCUUUCAGAGAGACCAGGAUUGCUUGAUUAAUCAGCGAGAAACUAGAUCAGUACUUGGGAGUUGGGACUGGUGUGCUACGGUUGAUUUGGGGAUGUGCACUAGCAGGUUUCAGGCAACUAUAUUAUACUCUUCGGUUGGGAUUAGCUUUUGCUGUUACUGACGAGAAUCAGUACAACUAUGAUGGACUGCUUUUCUAGAGCUAGAGCACUACAAAAGUAGAGAUGGUUUUUCACGGCUACACAAUAGGAAUUGAUCUCCGUUCAUUCAUAAAUCAUAAUUAGUGUAGUUCAAGCAGAGUGUUAGGGACAUUGUAGUUUGUCUGAUUAAAUCAAGACUUCAAUUAUUAAAUAAAAUUACAACUUAUAUGUAGAAAACUUUUAUUAACUUUAAUUUUCUAUUUUGCAGGUCCCUGCAGUUAUUUGUCAUAUUGGAUACUUUACAAACAUUCUGUAAAUUGGUAUCAGUUGCACACUUUUUGUUUAUCUCCAUAUCUAUGAUGACUACCUACUCCAAAGCAUCCCCACGUUAAUUUGAAAUAAAAGGAGAAGACCAGAACCAUGAUUUUUAUUCAAUGGUGGUUGAUUAGUAGGUAUGAUCCAAUCAAAUGUGUCCAGCUGUCCUCGUGUUCAUUUCCAACCUUUGAAACUCAGUUUUCAAAUUUAGAAAUCCAACAUAUAUAUUCCAGUACAUGAUUUUAUUUGAUGAUGGUUUAAUUUAGUAGCUACGAUCUAAUCAAGCUUGUCCAACUCUCCCGACAG
rnacentral:lncRNA from 1 species